rnacentral:lncRNA from 1 species
GGGGAUUGGAAGGAUUGAGAAAAGUAGAGAAGAUCACACAAAACAAGAAAAGGCUGAAGAGAAGCCCAUGAGCCCCUUUGAACAGAUGAUGUUAGCAAAGAUGGAUGAGCUCAUGAGGAUACUCAAAGAAGACUAUGUUGAGCUUAAUGAGUGCUUUGAGUCUAUCUCGAAAAAGUUGGAUGGCGUGGAUGCUAUGGGAGC